UUAUCAAAAACAUCGCCUCUUGCUAACAAAGGAAGUACUAGAGGUCCCGCCUGCCCUGUGACCACAAAGUUUAACGGCCGCGGUAUCCUGACCGUGCGAAGGUAGCGUAAUCAUUUGUCUUUUAAAUAAAGAGACCUGUAUGAAUGGCAUAACGAGGGUUUAACUGUCUCCUUCCCCUAGUCAAUGAAAUUGAUCUGCCCGUGCAGAAGCGGACAUAAAUACAUAAGACGAGAAGACCCUAUGGAGCUUUAGACAAAAGAUCAAACAUGUAAAGGAACCAAACCAACCGAAAGGAACACGAAGGCCACAAAACCCAACGUAAACUGAUCUAAAUGUCUUCGGUUGGGGCGACCAUGGGGGAAAGAAAAGCCCCCACGAGGAACAGGGACAACCCCUAAACUAAGAGAGACACCUCUAAGCAACAGAAAAUCUGACCAAAAUGACCCAGGAUACUAAUCCUGAUCAACGAACCAAGUUACCCUAGGGAUAACAGCGCAAUCCUUUCCCAGAGUCCAUAUCGACGAAAGGGUUUACGACCUCGAUGUUGGAUCAGGACAUCCUAAUGGUGCAGCCGCUACUAAGGGUUCGUUUGUUCAACGAUUAAUAGUCCUACGUGAUCUGAGUUCA
rnacentral:rRNA from 1 species